CAUCCUUCAAGGUCAAGGUCAUCCUUCAAGGUCAAGGUCCUCCUUCAAGGUCAAAGUUCAAACAACAAAACAAAAAAUCAAAGCAGCGUUAUCAUGAAGCUGCACAUUUUGAGUGUUGGAAUUUCAAGGUCAUCCGUUAAGGUCAAAAAAAUAUUCAAAGCAGCGUUCUCAUGAAGCUGCACAUUUUGAGUGGUGGAAGUUUAAGGUUAUCCUUCAAGGUCAAAGUUCAAAAAAAAAAAAUAAAAGCGGCGUUCUCAUGAAGCUGCACAUUUUGAGUGGUGAAAGUUCAAGGUCAAGGUCAUUCUUCAAGGUCAAGGUCAUCCUUCAAGGCCAAAAGUGAAAAAAAAAUUAAUUUCAAAGCGGCGUUAUCAUGAAGCUGCCCAUUUUGAGUGGCGGAAGUUCAAGGUCAAGGUCAUCCUUCAAGGUCAAGGUCAUCCUUCAAGGUCAAAGGUCUAAAAAAUAAUAUUUCAAAGCGGCAUUCUCAUACAGCUGCACAUUUUGAGUGGUGGAAGUUCAAGGUCAAGAUCAUCCUUCAAGGUCAAAGGUAAAAAAAAAUUUAAAAA